AUGCAUUCUAGUCCUGCCUGGGACACUCACUGGCCUCAAGAUCUUGGGCAAAACAGCUGACUGCUUUGCACCUCAGUUUCCUCAUCUGUAAGGUCCAGGACUACCCACUUCCCUUGGAAUGGUGUUGCCAUCACUGUUCUGGCACCGGAGAAAGGAUUCUACAUCGUUAGGAGAAAAGAAAAAGGAGAAUUUGGGCUUGCACUGAGAGGAUUACCUUUGGUGGUCUGGAAGUGGUGGCUGCACAGGGAGCAUGGCUGGGAGGCCUCAGGAAACUGACAAUCAUCAGUAGAAGAUGAAGAGGAAGGAGGCGCAUCUUACAUGGCCAGAGAAGGAGGAAGAAUAAGAAGGGAUUCUCCAGCUGGAGCCCUAUAAAUUGGACUGACAAAAGACAGAUUAGCAAGAGAAAUGCAAGCAGCAGUUUAUUAACAUGUGCAUCAUGAUUACACAUGGAAGUACCCAGAGGCAGAAUUAAAGAUUCAAGAUGUACCUACUUCUUCCGGGGACAACAUUCAUGAUUCUUAAAGAUUUCACAAGUGUACCUUCUAAGGUAAAUUAUAAACAGUGCCAAAGAAUUUGCUUCACCGCAUGCCUAUAGGGUUGUGAAUCAG
rnacentral:lncRNA from 1 species